rnacentral:rRNA from 1 species
AGGAUGAACGCUGGCGGCGUGCUUAACACAUGCAAGUCGAACGAUGAAGGCUGGAGCUUGCUCUGGCUGGAUUAGUGGCGAACGGGUGAGUAACACGUGAGUAACCUGCCCCAGACUCUGGGAUAAGCGCUGGAAACGGCGUCUAAUACCGGAUACGAGCUUCCACCGCAUGGUGAGGAGCUGGAAAGAAUUUCGGUCUGGGAUGGACUCGCGGCCUAUCAGCUUGUUGGUGAGGUAAUGGCUCACCAAGGCGACGACGGGUAGCCGGCCUGAGAGGGUGACCGGCCACACUGGGACUGAGACACGGCCCAGACUCCUACGGAGCAGCAGUGGGAAUAUUGCACAAUGGCGCAAGCUGAUGCAGCAACGCCGCGUGAGGACGAAGCCGUGGUU